AACGAACGCUGGCGGCGUGCUUAACACAUGCAAGUCGAACGUGAAAGGGCUUCGGCCUGAGUAAAGUGGCGCACGGGUGAGUAAGGCCUAGGAACGUACCUUAAAGUGGGGGAUAACCGCGGGAAACCGCGGCUAAUACCGCAUAUGUUUGCAAAAACAAAGCAGGCGCGGCGCAAGCCAGCUUGUGCUUUAAGAGCGGCCUAGGUCCCAUUAGCUAGUUGGUAGGGUAAAGGCCUACCAAGGCGACGAUGGGUAGCUGGUCUGAGAGGAUGAUCGGCCACACUGGAACUGAGACACGGUCCAGACUCCUACGGGAGGCAGCAGGGGGGAAUCUUGCACAAUGGGCGAAAGCCUGAUGCAGCAACGCCGCGUGGGUGAAGACGGCCCUUGGGUUGUAAAGCCCUUUCGGCUGGGAAGAAGGGCUGUGUGGUUAAUACCCACGCAGUUUGACGGUACCAGAGUAAGAAGCACCGUCUAAUUCCGUGCCAGCAGCCGCGGUAACAC
rnacentral:rRNA from 1 species